UUAAUCGGGGCAGGGUGAGUCGACCCCUAAGGCGAGGCCGAAAGGCGUAGUCGAUGGGAAACAGGUUAAUAUUCCUGUACUUGGUGUUACUGCGAAGGGGGGACGGAGAAGGCUAUGUUGGCCGGGCGACGGUUGUCCCGGUUUAAGCGUGUAGGCUGGUUUUCCAGGCAAAUCCGGAAAAUCAAGGCUGAGGCGUGAUGACGAGGCACUACGGUGCUGAAGCAACAAAUGCCCUGCUUCCAGGAAAAGCCUCUAAGCAUCAGGUAACAUCAAAUCGUACCCCAAACCGACACAGGUGGUCAGGUAGAGAAUACCAAGGCGCUUGAGAGAACUCGGGUGAAGGAACUAGGCAAAAUGGUGCCGUAACUUCGGGAGAA
rnacentral:rRNA from 1 species